rnacentral:tRNA from 1 species
UGGAGCAGCUUGGUAGCUCGUCGGGCUCAUAACCCGAAGGUCGUUGGUUCAAAUCCAGC